UGACCGUAACAGAAUCAGCGAUUCAUAACAAGGCUGACCGUAACUGCUUUUAAGAUGACCGUAAUUUGUAAAUGAUGACCGUAACUUUUAAAGGAUGACCCUCAAUACUAAGAAAUAUCCGUAAUUAUAUAACUAUCUUUUUGUAUCAAAUGAUUGCCAAAAGACAUGCAAAUGAACAGGAAGGGAAAACAUGCCACAAAAGCGCGAUAAAAUGACACCUUACAAGCAUAAUAAAAAAAAAUGGGGUGCACAGCCUUCAACUGCUCGACAAAAGAUUUUUGUUUGUUUCUGGGAUUCCUUUUAAUGACAUAUAAUAAAUACACAUUUUUAAAAAUGCCAAAAAAUUGCAUGUACACCCAUUGAUAUUAUAUCGUCUUUCAUUUUGUCGUGCAAAUAAAAUAACAGAAAUAUUUUGAAAAUAUCAUUCGAAUAAACUAGUGAAGGUGAGCUCCAGCAAAGUAGAUCCUUAAAAUAGUAUUGUACGAAAAGUGUAUCACAAGGCGGAACGUUGUCAAUUUGUAUAUAUA
rnacentral:lncRNA from 1 species